rnacentral:rRNA from 1 species
AAUCAACGCUGGCGGCGUGCCUAACACAUGCAAGUCGAACGCGAAAGCCCCGCAAGGGGCAAGUAGAGUGGCAAACGGGUGAGUAACACGUGGGUGACCUGCCUUCGAGCGGGGGAUAACGUCCCGAAAGGGACGCUAAUACCGCAUAACAUCCUGCCUUUGAAGAGGUGAGAUCAAAGCUGGGGAUCGCAAGACCCGGCACUUGAAGAGGGGCCCGCGCCUGAUUAGCUAGUUGGNGGGUAAUGGCCUACCAAGGCAACGAUCAGUAUCCGGCCUGAGAGGGCGGACGGACACACUGGGACUGAGACCACGGGCCCAGACUCCUACGGGAGGCAGCAGGUGGGGAAUUGUUCGCAAUGGGCGCAAGCCUGACGACGCAACGCCGCGU